rnacentral:rRNA from 1 species
GACGAACGCUGGCGGCGUGCUUAACACAUGCAAGUCGAGCGGUAAGGCCCUUUCGGGGGUACACGAGCGGCGAACGGGUGAGUAACACGUGGGUGACCUGCCUUUAGCUCUGGGAUAAGCCUGGGAAACCGGGUCUAAUACCGGAUAUGACUCCGCGGCGCAUGUUGUGGGGUGGAAAGCCUUGUGCGGCUGGAGAUGGGCCCGCGGCCUAUCAGCUUGUUGGUGGGGUGAUGGCCUACCAAGGCGACGACGGGUAGCCGGCCUGAGAGGGCGACCGGCCACACUGGGACUGAGACACGGCCCAGACUCCUACGGGAGGCAGCAGUGGGAAUCUUGCGCAAUGGGCGAAAGCCUGACGCAGCGACGCCGCGUGAGGGAUGACGGCCU